CUCUUCUCUCACUAUCUUUUUCCCAGCCAGGGUAAUAGGAAUAGAAUAUCCUUUUGUUUCACUGAAACUCUGAAUUUAUAACCUGAUUUUUGUGGACCUGUGGGCUCAAAUGAGAGAGGCCCAAGUCCAACAUUUUUCUGUUAUAUUUUAUUUAUUUAUUUAAUUUGUUUUUUUCGUUUUUCGUUUGUUUUUUCUUUCGUUUUUUUUAAACACAUGGGUUUCGCCUAGCGAGCAUGACAGUUGAAGAAAUUCCUCUGAGCGUAGGUGAUUCUGGUGGCUUUUCUUGGGACUCGCUAAGCGACCCAUUCUGCUCGCCUAGCGAGCAUGACAGCUCAUGAACAAACGUUUGCUCCUUCAAGAUUAACGUUUUGACUGACGAAUAGACCCCAUUUGAACCUGUUGGAAGUAUCUCAAGCCAUUCCCUUGUGUUGAC
rnacentral:lncRNA from 1 species